CGGCUAACUCCGUGCCAGCAGCCGCGGUAAUACGGAGGGUGCAAGCGUUAAUCGGAAUUACUGGGCGUAAAGCGCACGCAGGCGGUCCAUUAAGUUAGAUGUGAAAUCCCCGGGCUUAACCCGGGAACGGCAUCUAAGACUGGUGGGCUAGAGUCUCGUAGAGGGGGGUAGAAUUCCACGUGUAGCGGUGAAAUGCGUAGAGAUGUGGAGGAAUACCGGUGGCGAAGGCGGCCCCCUGGACGAAGACUGACGCUCAGGUGCGAAAGCGUGGGGAGCAAACAGGAUUAGAUACCCUGGUAGUCCACGCCGUAAACGAUGUCGAUUUGGAGGUUGUGCCCUUGAGGUGUGGCUUCCGGAGCUAACGCGUUAAAUCGACCGCCUGGGGAGUACGGUCGCAAGAUUAAAACUCAAAUGAAUUGACGGGGGCCCGCACAAGCGGUGGAGCAUGUGGUUUAAUUCGAUGCAACGCGAAGAACCUUACCUACUCUUGACAUCCACGGAAUUCUGCAGAGAUGCGGAAGUGCCUUCGGGAACCGUGAGACAGGUGCUGCAUGGCUGUCGUCAGCUCGUGUUGUGAAAUGUUGGGUUAAGUCCCGCAACGAGCGCAACCCUUAUCCUUUGUUGCCAGCACGUUAUGGUGGGAACUCAAGGGAGACUGCCGGUGAUAAACCGGAGGAAGGUGGGGAUGACGUCAAGUCAUCAUGGCCCUGACGAGUAGGGCUACACACGUGCUACAAUGGCGGAUACAAAGAGAAGCGACCUCGCGAGAGCAAGCGGAACUCAUAAAGUCUGUCGUAGUCCGGAUUGGAGUCUGCAACUCGACUCCAUGAAGUCGGAAUCGCUAGUAAUCGUAGAUCAGCAUGCUACGGUGAAUACGUUCCCGGGCCUUGUACACACCGCCCGUCACACCAUGGGAGUGGGUGGCAAAAGAAGUCGGUAGCUUAACCUUCGGGAGGGCGCUGACCACUUUGUGAUUCAUGACUGGGGUGAAGUCGUAACAAGGUAACCGUAGGGGAACCUGCGGUUG
rnacentral:rRNA from 1 species